rnacentral:rRNA from 1 species
AGAGUUUGAUCAUGGCUCAGAACGUACGCUGGCGGCACGCCUAACACAUGCAAGUCGAACGAAGUAGCAAUACUUAGUGGCAGACGGGUGAGUAACAUGUGGGUAUCUGCCCUUUGGCCUGGAAUAACACGAGGAAACUUGUGCUAAUACCGGAUAAGUCUUUACGGAGAAAGCUUUAUGCACCAUUGGAUGAGCCCGCACUUGAUUAGUUUGUUGGUGGGGUAAUGGCCUACCAAGACUGUGAUCAAUAGCUGAUUUGAGAGGAUGAUCAGCCACAUUGGGACUGAGACACGGCCCAAACUCCUACGGGAGGCAGCAGUGGGGAAUCUUGCACAAUGGAGGAAACUCUGAUGCAGCGAUGCCGCGUGAGUGAAGAAGGCCCUUGGGUUGUAAAGCUCUUUCGUCGGGGAAGAAAA